rnacentral:rRNA from 1 species
AGUGAACGCUGGCGGUAGGCCUAACACAUGCAAGUCGAACGGCAGCACAGGAGAGCUUGCUCUCUGGGUGGCGAGUGGCAGACGGGUGAGGAAUACAUCGGAAUCUACUCUGUCGUGGGGGAUAACGUAGGGAAACUUACGCUAAUACCGCAUACGACCUACGGGUGAAAGCAGGGGACCUUCGGGCCUUGCGCGAUUGAAUGAGCCGACGUCGGAUUAGCUAGUUGGCGGGGUAAAGGCCCACCAAGGCGACGAUCCGUAGCUGGUCUGAGAGGAUGAUCGGCCGAACUGGAACUGAGACACGGUCCAGACUGCUACGGGCGGCAGCAGUGGGGAAUAUUGGACAAUGGGCGCAAGCGUGAUCCAGCCAUUCCUCGUGGGUGAAGAAGGCCUUCGGGUUGUAAAGCCCUUUUGUUGGGAAAGAAAUCCAGCUGGCUAAUACCCGGUUGGGAUGACGGUACCCAAAGAAUAAGCACCGGCUAACUUCGUGCCAGCCGCCGCGGUAA